UGGCCUGAUAAGGGCGAGAAGGAGAGGAGGAUUGAUUGAUCUUGCCUUCGUUCUUUUCACGAGGACGAGAGGGUUCGGGAGGAGAUGGCGAAGGAGGAAGGGAAGACGUAACGGUCAAGAGCUCCGACGGCGAGGUGUUGGAGGUGGUGGCGAAUGUAUCUAAGACGAUCAGAUUCCGGCAUCCCCUUGCCCAACGUUGCCAACAAGAUCCUGGCGAAAGUCAUCGAGUACUGCAAAAAGCACGUCGACGCCCAGAAGACCGGCGACGACAAGAUCCAAGAAGAAGAGCUCAAGGCGUGGGAUGCCGAGUUUGUUAAGGUGGACCAAGCGAUGCUCUUCAAUCUCAUUCUGGUCUUAAAUGAGGAUCUAUGGCUUGUGGAAGGUCAGCAAGAGCGGAUGAUCAAUGGGGCAAAUGUUUGGAACUGGCCUGUGGGAUAUGAUAAGCUUGGAGCAAGGUACAGAAUAUGGAGAGAUGCACUUGAAAGAGGCAACAAGAAGCUUCCAUUCGAGAGGUCCACAGAGUGAAAACUUCCAAAGAGUAGCUCAAAUUCCCACUUAUUUGGAAGGGAUGGUCUUAAAUGAGGAUCCAUGGCUUGUGGAAGGUCAGCAAGAGCGGAUGAUCAAUGGGGCAAAUGUUUGGAACUGGCCUGUGGGAUAUGAUAAGCUUGGAGCAAGGUACAGAAUAUGGAGAGAUGCACUUGAAAGAGGCAACAAGAAGCUUCCAUUCGAGAGGUCCACAGAGUGAAAACUUCCAAUUGGAAGGGAUGGUGAGAUUGAUUCUUCAUCAAGCUCUAGAUAAUGUGGAUUUUCCUGCCUUUGAAGUUUGAUUCACAGGAGUCCAUAAUUCAAUUCCUGGAAGGGCAGAAUCAAUUUUUUUUUCCGUCAAAGGAAAUUGUAUAUGGGUUAAGGCUUGCAAGCAAUUUGCGUCUUAAUCGUCUAGAGUAUUUUCAUGUACAGUGCCUAUGCUGAUUUUUCUUCUUUUUCACCCUUUUAUAACCCCAUCUGAAGGUUCAACGAGGCAUAUUCCCUUUUUUAUGUGAACUGGAAAAAUAUUUGGCAUUAUCAUGUCGAUGGUUAAAUUUGAUAGUACAAAGGAAAAUUAUUUUUGAUUCACCUCCUUACACUCAAUUGUUGCCAUUGAAACUGAAUAAAUUCCGUAUUUUUUCUUCUCUUUCCUUUUAUUUUCAUUUUCCUUUAUUUGUGGCUUUGAAAUCAAGGACAAUUGCAGUGCAAAGCAUCUCUUCCAAGGAAGGCAACCUUAACUUGAAGAUAUCUGUCCCACAAGGUUAUCAUUUCUCGAAGGUGAAUGAGGCCAAAAAUGUGCUGAAACUUUGCGAUUUUGGUAAUGCUAUGUUUGCUGGGAAGAAUGAGAUUACACCAUAGUUGUAUCACUAUUCAUUCUUGGCUUGCCGUAUGACCAUGCUUUGGACAUAUGGUCAGUUGGCUGCUGCUUGUACGAGCCAUAUACAGAAAAGGUCCUCUUCCCUGGACCAUCAAACAAUGAC